rnacentral:rRNA from 1 species
CGGCAACAGCUCAAAUUUGAAAUCUGGCUCUCGGGCCCGAGUUGUAAUUUGGAGAGGAUGCUUUUGGCGCGGCGCCGUCCGAGUUCCCUGGAACGGGACGCCGGAGAGGGUGAGAGCCCCGUACGGUCGGACGCCCAGCCAGUGUAAAGCUCCUUCGAC